AUUUUCUCUUUCAAAAUUUUUCCUUCUUAACGUCUUUUCCACGAUUAUUGUUCCACAAUUUCAGUUGUUCUGGUUGAGAUACAAAAAUUAGCUGAGAUUAUCCCAUUGUGUCCCAAGCUUGUAAUUUCUACGAAAAGAAAGGGACUGUGGUCUGUAUAUGGUAACAUACGCAGAGUGUUUUUCUUAUGGUAAAAGAGUUCCUUUGAUUGAUUUCAACCCCAACACACUUCGUACAUGUUACGCUGCACUAUUGUGGGACUAUAUAUGGCAUGAGAAAACAAGAAGCAAAUGCUCAUAGCGAUGUCGAAGUACUCUUGAGGCCUGGCAGGCAAAGUCGAAUAACCAGUGUCACUGAAGUUUUAGAAAUAUGAUGAUUGUUGAAUUUAUUACAUUGGA